GCACGAAAGUUAGCCGGUGCUUAUUCUUCAGGUACCGUCAUCAUCUCCCCUGACAAAAGAACUUUACAACCCUAAGGCCUUCAUCAUUCACGCGGCAUGGCUGGAUCAGGGUUUCCCCCAUUGUCCAAUAUUCCCCA
rnacentral:rRNA from 1 species